UUAGAGCCAUUCCCCUUGUCCUAUGCAAUCCAGGCAGGAGUUUUUACUGACUCACCAAAAUGAGUUGCCUGAGAACAAGGACAGACAGCUGCAAGAGCAAUAUUUUAAACCUCCUUACACAACUUCCCAGAAUAAGCUUAUAGGACUCUAAUCCUUUUGAUUUAAAGCUCAGAGUAACUACUCACAUCAGAACACCUUCUGCUCUUGUUUGCAGUACUCAGAACCACUGUGGGUUUCCAACAGGUUCCACAGAAGCCAGAGAGCAGACUUUUUCUGUAACAUGUUAUUUUUGUGCAUCUAUUUAGCAGGAAGAACACACUCCCACAAAUAACCUAACCUAUUCAUGGAAAUAAUGAUUUUGUAGACCUGGCUUAAAGCCUAUGGGAUUUUUGUGAUCCCAGAGCCCACUGGAAGAGGAUACUCAGCUUCUGAUGGUGGGUAGGACCCUCUUUGGAUCCUCUAGGUGGAAGCCAGACCUCAGAAAGGUAUCCUGACCUGUUUACAGAGUUUCUCCUCAUCUGUUCCAUCUCAAGAUCUGUAAGACUCAGACAAAGAAGAGAGGAAACUUUAAAACCAAUCCUGAGUAAGACAGCAUUACUGCAUUUUCAGUUCCUUGGUGUGCUCCUCAUGGUAAACCUUCUGUGACAAUAAAAUGUCCCCAGCCUUCCCUGGGCCUGUACAAACAGAGGCAUCUUGCUGUGCGAAGGUCACCAAGGCAUUGCUACUAAUACUUCUGUUGGAUUUUUUGGUUGUUCAUUUUUUCCCCUCCGAAUUCCCAUCUUGUUUUAGACAGCUUUCAUCUCCCCUGUCUCUUGAGCACUGUCUCACUGUGCAUCUGUUUUCCCUUUGCAUGCUCUCCCUUCCCCCUCUGUUUACUUUUAUAAGCAGACUGUUGUAUUUAUUCAAUUCCCCUUGGUUUUCUUUGAGUUUUUCAGUUCUUCCAAUCUUCUCUGCAGCUCUCCCAUUCUCUCCACUUGCCUUCCAAUCCAGAAUGCUGCUGAGGGGGCCUGUUUCCAAUUAUGUCUGUUUUGUCUUGUUUACUGGAGUUUCCUUCUCCCCUGUGUUUUACAGGAGCCACCUUUUUUUAUAUAUCUCUUUUUCCAUUUGCUGAUCAGAAGCCAGGACACUACUUCUUUUUCACUGCUGUUGCAUUUAUUCAUUUAGGUAUUUUUCCUUCCCCAAGAAGUAGAGUAGAUUUUUUUUUUUUUUUUUUUAAUGUGUAGACUCUCAUUGUAGCAACUGUUGUGGAAAUUACUUUCAUGCAUAUUAAAUUAUGGAAAAAAAGCCCAUCUUGAUAUUCUUUAAUUUUUCUUUUUUACCUCAAAAAACCUCAUCAAAUAUAGACCCGGUCCUAUUUGCCACCAGAUUUCCUUUCUGAGAGAUCCACAGACUGUGGUCACUGAGCACCAGGGUCCUCAUCAAACCUUCUUAAAUCUGCAGCUGUAAAGUCAGAAGCAUCCUUCUGAGCCAAGAGAAAAUACACAAAUUUCAAGUGCAACUUCUUGUUUAGGUCUCCUGCAGGAUUUGCCAAAACCAAACCACCUCCAGGAACUAUUCAGAUAGAGAAGUGGUUAACUCAGGAGUUUAUGAAACAAGAAACUUGGCUUCCAUUCCCGGCUCUUGCAUUCAUGUUCUUCCUACUCUUGGAAAAGUCACUUAAAACUAGGUCUGUGUGCAGACUCAGGCUGUUCCAGGCAUCAGACACUCAGGAUCUCUGUAAGCAGAUUAGAUGAAUGGAUAGGAUAAACCCAAAACAGAAAGAAGAGCUUAAAAAUACCUGGGCAAACUGGUAGAAAAUAGGAAGAUGGGCAAGACUCAGGGCUCCGAGAUUCCUGGUCCUUGAUGAAGGAAGAUAUGGUGUU